UACAGAGGUCUCGAGCGUUGUUCGGAUUCAUUGGGCGUAAAGGGCGCGUAGGCGGCGGGGUAAGUCUGGUGUGAAAUCUUGGAGCUUAACUCCGAAACUGCAUUCGAUACUGCCGUGCUUGAGGACUGGAGAGGAGACUGGAAUUUACGGUGUAGCGGUGAAAUGCGUAGAUAUCGUAAGGAAGACCAGUGGCGAAGGCGGGUCUCUGGACAGUUCCUGACGCUGAGGCACGAAGGCCAGGGGAGCAAACGGG
rnacentral:rRNA from 1 species